rnacentral:lncRNA from 1 species
UCGUUUGUUAUGCUUAGCGUCACUGGACAUCAGAUUAGGACUACUACUCCAGGAUUGUCGACCGCUGCUUGCACCUUCACCUCUUGCAUACAUCAAACACGUCCGUCGUCAGGAUAAUAUAGCUGCCCAUUUUGUAGCACGUAAGACUCUUACUUAUCCUGCAUCAAACGAUCGUUUGAUCGAUUUUGCGCUAUUGUAUUCCUUAGUUGUAUUUUACUCUUUUAUCUCUUCAGUAUUAGUUUCAAUGCCCUAGACAAAAAAGGUGUUUUGUAAUCGUAUUUCUGCAAACAAUUGAAGUGAC